AUUGAACGCUGGCGGCAGGCCUAACACAUGCAAGUCGAACGGUAACAGGAAUUAGCUUGCUGAUUCGCUGACGAGUGGCGGACGGGUGAGUAAUGUCUGGGAAACUGCCUGAUGGAGGGGGAUAACUACUGGAAACGGUAGCUAAUACCGCAUAACGUCGCAAGACCAACGAGGGGGACCUUCGGGCCUCUUGCCAUCGGACGUGCCCAGAUGGGAUUAGCUAGUAGGUGGGGUAACGGCUCACCUAGGCGACGAUCCCUAGCUGGUCUGAGAGGAUGACCAGCCACACUGGAACUGAGACACGGUCCAGACUCCGACGGGAGGCAGCAGUGGGGAAUAUUGCACAAUGGGCGCAAGCCUGAUGCAUCCAUGCCGCGUGUAUGAAGAAGGCCUUCGGGUUGUAAAGUACUUUCAGCGAGGAGGAAGGCAUUAAGGUUAAUAACCUUAGUGAUUGACGUUACUCGCAGAAGAAGCACCGGCUAACUCCGUGCCAGCCGCCGCGGUAA
rnacentral:rRNA from 1 species